rnacentral:rRNA from 1 species
GACGAACGCUGGCGGCGUGCUUAACACAUGCAAGUCGAACGGGUCUGCCUUGUUUUUUGCGGGGUGGGUUAGUGGCGAACGGGUGAGUAACACGUGAGUAACCUGCCCCUCACUUCUGGAUAACCGCUUGAAAGGGUGGCUAAUACGGGGUGUUCUGGCUGUGCCGCAUGGUGUGGCUGGGAAAGAUUCACUUUUGUGGUGUUUUGGUGGGGGAUGGGCUCGCGGCCUAUCAGCUUGUUGGUGGGGUGAUGGCCUGCCAAGGCUUUGACGGGUAGCCGGCCUGAGAGGGUGGGCGGUCACACUGGGACUGAGAUACGGCCCAGACUCCUGCGGGAGGCAGCAGUGGGGGGUAUUGCACAAUGGGCGGAAGCCUGAUGCAGCGACGUCGCGUGAGGGAUGGAGGCCUUCGGGUUGUGAACCUCUUUCGCCGGUGAAGAAGGUCCUGUUCUUUGUGGUGGGGCUGACGUAGCCGGGUA